rnacentral:rRNA from 1 species
CCUACGGGAGGCUGCAGUGGGGAAUAUUGCGCAAUGGGCGAAAGCCUGACGCAGCGACGCCGCGUGAGGGAUGAAGGUCUUCGGAUCGUAAACCUCUGUCAGCAGGGAAGAACGGUCCAUGUGCUAAUCACCAGUGAAUUGACGUUACCUGCAAAGGCAGCACCGGCUAACUCCGUGCCAGCAGCCGCGGUAAUACGGAGGGUGCGAGCGUUAAUCGGAAUUACUGGGCGUAAAGCGCUCGUAGGCGGUAGGUUAAGUCAAGUGUGAAAUCCCCGGGCUUAACGUGGGAACUGCCUUUGAAACUGGUCAGCUGGAGUGUGGGAGAGGGGAGUGGAAUUCCAGGUGUAGCAGUGAAAUGCGUAGAGAUCUGGAGGAACACCAGUGGCGAAGGCGACCACCUGGAAAAAGACUGACGCUGAGGUGCGAAAGCGUGGGGAGCAAACAGGAUUAGAUACCCCGGUAGUC